rnacentral:sRNA from 1 species
UUAGUUUUUUCUGGCAGAACGUUAACCAGAAGAUGUUGUGAAUAACGCGCAAAAAUGUGCGCGGCAACUAAACGCAGAACCUGUCUU